AUUGAACGCUGGCGGCAGGCUUAACACAUGCAAGUCGAGCGGGGUGAGGUGCUUCGGUACUGAUCCUAGCGGCGGACGGGUGAGUAAUGCUUAGGAAUCUGCCAUUUAGUGGGGGACAACAUUCCGAAAGGGAUGCUAAUACCGCAUACGUCCUACGGGAGAAAGCAGGGGAUCUUCGGACCUUGCGCUAAAUGAUGAGCCUAAGUCGGAUUAGCUAGUUGGUGGGGUAAAGGCCUACCAAGGCGACGAUCUGUAGCGGGUCUGAGAGGAUGCUCGGCCACACUGGGACUGAGACACGGCCCAGACUCCUACGGGAGGCAGCAGUGGGGAAUAUUGGACAAUGGGCGGAAGCCUGAUCCAGCCAUGCCGCGUGUGUGAAGAAGGCCUUUUGGUUGUAAAGCACUUUAAGCGAGGAGGAGGCUACCUGGAUUAAUACUCUGGGAUAGUGGACGUUACUCGCAGAAUAAGCACCGGCUAACUCUGUGCCAGCAGCCGCCGUAAUAC
rnacentral:rRNA from 1 species